UACGUAGGGGGCAAGCGUUGUCCGGAAUUAUUGGGCGUAAAGCGCGUGUAGGCGGCCAGAUAAGUCCGCUGUGAAAUCUCGAGGCUCAACUUCGAGCUGUCGGUGGAAACUGUCUGGCUGGAGUCCGGAAGAGGAGAAUGGAAUUCCUGGUGUAGCGGUGAAAUGCGCAGAUAUCAGGAAGAACACCCAUGGCGAAGGCAGCAUACUGGGCCUGUACUGACGCUGAGACGCGAAAGCGUGGGGAGCAAACGGG
rnacentral:rRNA from 1 species